GAGAAAUCCAAGUGAAUAGUAUUGUAAGUCCAACUAAUUUUUUUAUAAAAACGAUGAGUUUAGUUUUCUAGGUAUUGUGUUAUUAAUACAUGUGAUGUAUUUUUGCACUUGAAAAUAGUUACACUCGUUGGAUGCUAUACUUCAUGGCGUUGUGGAUGCUACAUAUUCAGUAUCUUGGAGUUUCUUGUCAUUUGUAGUGACCCAUGGGGAAGGAGUUCCACGGCAACCUAACGGUUUUGAUUGUGGAGUUUACGUCAUCAAAUUUAUGGAUACUCCUGGAAUCAUCACCAACAAAUCGUAUGUGGUACGCUCCCUUAUUCGCCUUAUGUGGUUUUUUGGUUGAUUUUACUACUGUUGUUGGGCCACUGACAUGAUGAAAGUGCAUGAUUAUUUCUGCAGCAUGACUCACAGAAUGUUCGGGCG
rnacentral:lncRNA from 1 species